rnacentral:rRNA from 1 species
UACGAAGGGGGCUAGCGUUGUUCGGAGUUACUGGGCGUAAAGGGCGCGUAGGCGGCGCACCAAGUCAGGCGUGAAAGCCCUGGGCUCAACCCGGGAAUUGCGCUUGAGACUGGUGUGCUUGAGUACGGGAGAGGAUAGUGGAAUUCCCAGCGUAGAGGUGAAAUUCGUAGAUAUUGGGAAGAACACCGGUGGCGAAGGCGGCCACCUGGACGGUCACUGACGCUGAGACGCGAAAGCGUGGGUAGCAAACAGG